rnacentral:piRNA from 1 species
UAGGUGACUUUUAACUUUCCCUUGAUUGGUU